GGCCAAGUCUUCCCUACACACAGACGCUGUUUGUGACGAGCCCACUGAUCGCACCUGAACUUUGUGAAAUUUUGUCAGUCCGUCUUAUCGACAUUCUCCCU